rnacentral:lncRNA from 1 species
GAGAUUGAAACGAUGAGGAAAACGAAGUGCCUAAUCCCCGCUGGACGCUAACUGCAGGGCAAGCUCCCCAGUGUUGUAGUUGUGUUUCGGAGGCCGAGAACCGCUAUCGGGCUUCCUCGGACUCUGGCCCUGGAGGGGGGAAACGGCGAGGGAGAAGGCGAAACGAGUCUCCAGUGUGUUCUUGGGGCCUGGUGCGAGGCCCAGAGAAUUCUCUGCAGGCCUUUGCCCGGGCACUGAUUAAGGCUGCGAAGAGACGCACCGGGCUGCGGGCUUAGUAGCUUCAGGCUUCUGAAGUCAGAGGGAGGGCUGAGAGCUUACACUUCUGGAGCUCCCCGGGAGACGGCAACUACCCAACCGUGUGGGUGUGUUUGUCACCCAGAAAUACUCUCCACACCAUGCUGCACUGCUGCGGAUGAGGGAAGGAUGGUGUCGGGGCUUCAAGACUGUUUUUCCUACCUCUUCAGUGCCUCUUUCAGUGAUAUGAAGUUAAAACCAGGAACAUGGAGGAGACAUAUUUCCACCUAUUUCUCUCCAUAAGUAUAAAAGACCAUAAAAGACCAUCUAGGGACUUCAGAACCCAAAUAAUGACACAAUGGUUCUGAAGCAACACUGUAACUGCUGAAUGCUUCUGGCUGCUUCUUUCCACAGUAAAAGAUGAAAAGAAAUAUCUUUUAUUGAGAUAGACUGAGGUCCAGGAAAAACAAGUGCAACUUCAUGGUCCUUUUCUUCAUAUUCUGGAAUACAAGAAAACGUGUAAAUGUUUGCAAAUUCAGGUGCUAAGAGUUUUGCAUGUAUAGCAGUACUUUUACCAUCUGUUUCAUUUGGAUGUUUAAUGAUGUCAAUCUUCAAUGGAAGUUUCACAAGUGGAAUCUGUUCAAUAGGUACAUUUUCAACUGGAAUGUAACAUGUAGAGCAGUAGAACAUUCUGGAACCACCACAUUUGAGACAUUUUGAUCUCCCACUUUGCUGAGCUUUUUGAAGAACUUCUUGAGAUGCUAAACAUAAGUUUUGAAGGGGAUCUUCUGAAGCUAUGGAAGUAGUUUGUGACUGUUUUGUUUCCACAAAGUUUGAAUUAUUUUCUUCACUUCAUUUGAGAAAUAUAGGUGGAUUGAGAGACAUUCUUCAUUCAAACAAAAGUUUAACAGCUAUUUCUAAAACACAUAUCAUCUGAAGCUAUGGAAGUAGUUUGUGACUGUUUUGUUUCCACAAAGUUUGAAUUAUUUUCUUCACUUCAUUUGAGAAAUAUAGGUGGAUUGAGAGACAUUCUUCAUUCAAACAAAAGUUUAACAGCUAUUUCUAAAACACAUAUCAUAUGUGCACUGCGAGUCCUCGAACAGCUCCACGCGUCUCCAGCUCUGCCCAAGCCCGAGCCACGCGACGGGCUGUGAUCGCGCACGGACCAGACGCAAAGAAGCCAACUGCUGGUUCUCCACUCUGAAUGAUCAUCGCUUCCCAUUUGGAAGACAAAGAUGGUUACUGGCCUUGGCAUAUUAACCCUGGAGCUGCCUCCUCAGGAAGUGAAGAGUUGGGCUUGGCUGGCUGGUAUAGCAGCAGCGACAGCAGCAGAGACAGCAUGGCCUGCUCAGAAGGGGCGCCCUAGUUGCCAAGGAUGAGGGCACUGGCUUUGCACUCUUUGAGACUGGGGCUUUACCUAACAAACACUUGCAAAACUUAUUACCCCUCCAGUCCUCAAGUUUCCUUGUACCUAUAGAAUAGGAAUGUUAAAACUUACUUCACACAACUGUUUUGAGGAUGAAUUGGCUAUUUGAAAACUUGGGCACUGGAAGAAGUCCAGUGAAGGACAGUGUCACUUCCGCUGUUCACCCUUUCAUGCUUAAUUAACAUUUAAUUAAUCAAAUAUGUUGUUUCUUUUUGUAUUUUUUUAACUGAGAUAAAUGUAGAUUUACAUAUAGUUGUAGAAAUAAUACAGAAUUAUCCCGUGUACCCCUUACCUAGUUACCCCCAAUGGUAACAUCUUGCAAUAUUAUACCACAAUGUCACAACCAGGAUAUUCAGAUAGAUGUCAUCCACUGAUCUUACUCAAAAUUCACUCAUUUUCCAUACAGUCCUUUGAUUGUGUGGUAGUUCUGUGAAAUUUCAUCCCAUCUGUAGUUUUCAUGUAAUCAUCGCCACAGUCAAGGCACAGAAUGCUUCACUUCCAUCACUAUAAGGAACCCUUGUGUUGCCCUUUUAUAACCACACCCACUUCUCUCCUGUCUCCCAAACUCCAUCUCUAAUCCCUGUUAACCACUGAUAUGUUCCUUACUUACACAAUUUUAUCAUUUCAAGAAAGUUACAGAUAUUGAAUCACAUAGUAUGUAACCUUUUAGGAUUGGUGUUUUUCACUCAGCAUUAUUCCCUGGAGAUCAUCCAAGUUGUUGCACGAAUGAUUUGUUUCUUUUAUUGCUGGGGAGUAGUCUAUGGUAUGGAUGUAUCACAGUUUAAUUAUUCGCCCCUUGAAGGACAUUUGGGUGGUUUCUAGUUUCUGGCUAUUGUAAAUGAAACUGUGAUGAACGUUUGUGUACAGGUUUCUGUGUGAACACAAGUUUUCAUUUCUCUGGGAUAAAUGCCUGUGAGUGCAACUGCUGGGUCAUAUGGCAAUUGCAUGUUUAGUUUUACAAGAAACUGCCAAACUGCUUUCCAGAGUGGCUGUGCCAUUUUAAAUUCCCUCCAGCAAUUAUAAGAGGUGCAGUUUCUCGGCAUUCCUUCCAAAAUUUGAUGGUGUUGCCAUUUUUUAUCUUAGCCAUUUUGGCAGGUGUGUAGUAAUAUCUUAUUGUGGGUUUUACGUUGCAUUUCCCUAAUUGUUAAUGUUGUUAAAUAUUUUCUCAUGUGCUUAUCCGCUAUCUGUGUAUCCUCUUCGUGAAAUGGUUCUUCAUGUAUUUUGUUCAUUUCCUGAUUGUGUUUUGUUAAAUUUUUAAAGUUCUUUAGAUA